ACCGGUUUUCUUCCGGUCCUGCCGAUCGGCGUAAUCGGGUCCUGCGCGGCAGAUGUCUAUGAACCCCGCUAGGUCCGUGAGGAAGCAACGGUAAAUGGACCUCUCUGGGUGCCGUAGGGCAGCCUGAUUGCGCUGAUCGGCAGGACCGGGCGAAAAUCGGU
rnacentral:SRP_RNA from 1 species